rnacentral:rRNA from 1 species
GGAUGAAUAUUGGGUCAAUGGACGCAAGUCUGAACCAGCCAAGUAGCGUGCAGGAUGACGGCCCUAUGGGUUGUAAACUGCUUUUAUGCGGGGAUAAAGUAAGGGACGUGUCCCUUUUUGUAGGUACCGCAUGAAUAAGGACCGGCUAAUUCCGUGCCAGCAGCCGCGGUAAUACGGAAGGUCCGGGCGUUAUCCGGAUUUAUUGGGUUUAAAGGGAGCGUAGGCCGUCGUUUAAGCGUGUUGUGAAAUGCCGCGGCUCAACCGUGGCACUGCAGCGCGAACUGGAUGACUUGAGUUCGCGGGAGGUAGGCGGAAUUCGUGGUGUAGCGGUGAAAUGCUU